rnacentral:tRNA from 1 species
GAGGGUAUAGCUCAAGUGGUAGAGCAUAUGCUUAGCAUACAUGAGGUCCUGGGUUCAAUCUCCGGUACCACCU